UUUGCGUUAAGGAUUAUAGCGGAAAUACUUUUUAGAGGUUUUUCGCCGAUAAAAAGAUUGCAGCGAAAAGCCUGACCCCGC
rnacentral:sRNA from 1 species